rnacentral:rRNA from 1 species
GACGAACGCUGGCGGCGUGCUUAACACAUGCGAGUCGAACGGAAAGGCCCUGCUUUUGUGGGGUGCUCGAGUGGCGAACGGGUGAGUAACACGUGAGUAACCUGCCCUUGACUUUGGGAUAACUUCAGGAAACUGGGGCUAAUACCGGAUAGGAGCUCCUGCUGCAUGGUGGGGGUUGGAAAGUUUCGGCGGUUGGGGAUGGACUCGCGGCUUAUCAGCUUGUUGGUGGGGUAGUGGCUUACCAAGGCUUUGACGGGUAGCCGGCCUGAGAGGGUGACCGGCCACAUUGGGACUGAGAUACGGCCCAGACUCCUACGGGAGGCAGCAGUGGGGAAUAUUGCAAAAUGGGCGGAAGCCUGAUGCAGCAACGCCGCGUGCGGGAUGACGGCCUUCGGGUUGUAAACCGCUUUCGCCUGUGACGAAGCGUGAGUGACGGUAAUGGGUAAAGAAGCACCGGCUAACUACGUG